rnacentral:rRNA from 1 species
UGGGGAAUAUUGCACAAUGGGGGAAACCCUGAUGCAGCGACGCCGCGUGAACGAAGAAGGUAUUCGUAUCGUAAAGUUCUGUCCUAUGGGAAGAUAAUGACAGUACCAUAGAAGAAAGCUCCGGCUAAAUACGUGCCAGCAGCCGCGGUAAUACGUAUGGAGCGAGCGUUGUCCGGAAUUAUUGGGCGUAAAGGGUACGCAGGCGGUUUAAUAAGUCGAAUGUUAAAGAUCGGGGCUCAACCCCGUAAAGCAUUGGAAACUGAUAAACUUGAGUAGUGGAGAGGAAAGUGGAAUUCCUAGUGUAGUGGUGACAUACGUAGAUAUUAGGAGGAAUACCAGUAGCGAAGGCGACUUUCUGUACACAAACUGACGCUGAGGUACGAAAGCGUAGGGAGCAAACAGG